AUGGAGGCGGCGUUGGCAACGACCCGUGCUAGCCACGGGGGUCCGCGGGGCCGGGGACCCGGGGGGGCGAGGUACGCGUCUCACUCCCCCCGCGGGACCCGCCGGCAUCGCCCCCGCUCGCUUCCCUUCUCUCUCUACCAUCGCUUUUGUCGGGGGCCCGGGCGCGGGCCUUCGCUGCAACGCUUCUCGGUGCCGCGGCUUAGGGCCGCGAGAGGGAAGAAAAAAAGUAGCCGCGGAGGCCGGGGCGGGCGCCCCCCACUCUGCCCGCACGCCGGCACACCCGCGUGGCAACCCAGCCCGCCCGGCAGAAGCGGCUCGGUCGAUCCGGCCACGACCGAGGUGGGCGAGGCGCCGCCGCCUCGCCCGGGACAAGUCCGGGCGGCUCUCCCUCCGCCGGGUGCCGGGUCCGGAACCAGGGCGGCCGGCCGCCGCAGCAGGCCUCUGGCUCCUAAGGAGGAAGAAAAAAAAAAAAACACAGCCCGCCCGCCGACGCGGGUCCCCGGCUUAAGGCCGAGGAAGGGGGACGGCUUAACGAGGCGGGCUGGGGACGGGGUGCCGCCACCCCGACUCCGCAAGCCCACCGGGCGACUGCCGCCGAAGGCGGACCGGCGGCCCAAAACCGCGCCCGCCGAGCGGGCCCCCGGCUUAAGGCCGGGCGGAAGAAGGGACGAGGCGCCGCCGCCUCGCCCGCCACCGCUGCCCGGGGAGGGGCCGCCCCCACCCUUGCGGAUCGGCCGGCAGAAGCCGGGCCGGGACACCCUCGCGGGGCUUCUCUCUUUCUCUCGCCCUCUUCUCUCUGCCUCGCCUCGGCCGGCCAGCGCCUCUCGGAUCGUCUUUUCCGCCCUUCUCUCUCGCCAUCCCUCUCUCUCUCUCUCUCUCUCUCUCUCUCUCUCUCUCUUUCUCUAUCGGCGUGGCCCUUCUCUCUCGGCCUCUCCACAUCCGCCCUUCCGCGGGCCCGUCUCUCUCGCCUCUCCCAACUCGUACCCGACUUCCCCGGGCAGGACGGGAACCGGGACCAAGCCACGCGACUCGUCCCGGCUAGACGGGCCCAACUCGCUUCGCCCCGGCGACCGCACGCGCGGCCGCUCCGCUCCGCCUCGGACAGCACAGACGCGUAGUCGGCCUGCGGGGAUGCGGCCCGUCGCCUCGCUCCCAUCAUACGGACAGACGAGUCCAAAGCCGCCCACGCCUCCAAGAGGACCCACGGAGCUCCACCGGGAAGAGGCGCCGCCGCAGGCCGCCUCCUACGAUGACGCAGCCGGAGGCGGCCGACAACAGCGACCCCUUGGUGGACUUCCGCCGCCGGCCGCGACAACAGGUCUACCCGGCGCCCGCCGAAAUUUGACUAAGUCCCGCCGGAGCGAGGUAGACCUGGUGUCCCCGGCCAGGCCCCGCCACCCGGGGGCAAGGCCGACCCCCGGCGGCCCCGGAGCCGGGGUAGACCUGGUGUCCCGCCGGAGCCGGGGUAGACCUGGUGUCCCGCCGGGGCCGGGGUAG
rnacentral:lncRNA from 14 species